AUUACUCCUACGGGAGGCAGCAGUAAGGAAUAUUGGUCAAUGGAGGGAACUCUGAACCAGCCAUGCCGCGUGCAGGAAGACGGCCCUCUGGGUUGUAAACUGCUUUUAUUCGGGAAUAAACCUUAUUACGUGUAAUAAGCUGAAUGUACCGAAGGAAUAAGGAUCGGCUAACUCCGUGCCAGCAGCCGCGGUAAUAAUC
rnacentral:rRNA from 1 species